AACGCGAAGAACCUUACCCACCUUUGACAUGUACGGAAUCCUUUAGAGAUAGAGGAGUGCUCGAAAGAGAGCCGUAACACAGGUGCUGCAUGGCUGUCGUCAGCUCGUGUCGUGAGAUGUUGGGUUAAGUCCCGCAACGAGCGCAACCCUUGCCAUUAGUUGCUACGAAAGGGCACUCUAAUGGGACUGCCGGUGACAAACCGGAGGAAGGUGGGGAUGACGUCAAGUCCUCAUGGCCCUUAUAGGUGGGGCUACACACGUCAUACAAUGGCUGGUACAGAGGGUUGCCAACCCGCGAGGGGGAGCUAAUCCCAUAAAGCCAGUCGUAGUCCGGAUCGCAGUCUGCAACUCGACUGCGUGAAGUCGGAAUCGCUAGUAAUCGCGGAUCAGAAUGUCGCGGUGAAUACGUUCCCGGGUCUUGUACACACCG
rnacentral:rRNA from 1 species